UCUUCCCUCUCUCUUCCGGCCUAAUACAUGCAAGUCGAACGGGAUCCAGAUCAAAGCUUGCUUUGGUCUGGUGAGAGUGGCGCACGGGUGCGUAACGCGUGAGCAACCUACCCUUGUCAGGGGGAUAGCCCGGCGAAAGUCGGAUUAAUACCGCAUGACAUCAUUGAGAGGCAUCUUUCGAUGAUCAAAGAUUUAUCGGACAAGGAUGGGCUCGCGUGACAUUAGCUAGUUGGUAAGGUAACGGCUUACCAAGGCUGCGAUGUCUAGGGGCUCUGAGAGGAGAAUCCCCCACACUGGUACUGGGACACGGACCAGACUCCUACGGGAGGCAGCAGUAAGGAAUAUUGGGCAAUGGACGGAAGUCUGAACCAGCCAUGCCGCGUGCAGGAGGACGGCCCUAUGGGUUGUAAACUGCUUUUAUACGGGAACAAACGUCGGUACGUGUACCGGUCUGAGUGUACCGUAAGAAUAAGGAGCGGCUAACUCCGUG
rnacentral:rRNA from 1 species